CUACGGGUUGCUCCAGCGGGGAAUAUUGGACAAUGGGCGCAAGCCUGAUCCAGCAAUACCGCGUGUGUGAAGAAGGCCUUCGGGUUGUAAAGCACUUUCAGUAGGGAGGAAAAGCUUAUAACUAAUAUUUAUAAGCCGUGACGUUACCUACAGAAGAAGCACCGGCUAACUCUGUGCCAGCAGCCGCGGUAAUACAGAGGGUGCAAGCGUUAAUCGGAAUUACUGGGCGUAAAGCGCACGUAGGCGGAUACUUAAGUCAAUUGUGAAAGCCCCGGGCUCAACCUGGGAACUGCAGUUGAUACUGGGUAUCUAGAGUAUGGUAGAGGUAUGUGGAAUUCCCGGUGUAGCAGUGAAAUGCGUAGAGAUCGGGAGGAACACCAGUGGCGAAGGCGGCAUACUGGACCAAUACUGACGCUGAGGUGCGAAAGCGUGGGGAGCAAACAGGAUUAGAUACCCCGGUAGUC
rnacentral:rRNA from 1 species